rnacentral:rRNA from 1 species
GAUGAACGCUGGCGGCGGGCCUAAUACAUGCAAGUCGAGCGAAUGGAUUAAGAGCUUGCUCUUAUGAAGUUAGCGGCGGACGGGUGAGUAACACGUGGGUAACCUGCCCAUAAGACUGGGAUAACUCCGGGAAACCGGGGCUAAUACCGGACAACAUUUUGAACCGCAUGGUUCGAAAUUGAAAGGCGGCUUCGGCUGUCACUUAUGGAUGGACCCGCGUCGCAUUAGCUAGUUGGUGAAGUAACGGCUCACCAAGGCAACGAUGCGUAGCCGACCUGAGAGGGUGAGCGGCCACACUGGGACUGAUACACGGCCCAGACUCCUACGGGAGGCAGCAGUAGGGAAUCUUCCGCAAUGGACGAAAGUCUGACGGAGCAACGCCGCGUGAGUGAUGAAGGCUUUCGGGUCGUAAAACGCUGUUGUUAGGGAAGAACAAGUGCUAGUUGAAUAAGCUGGCACCUUGACGGUACCUAACCAGAAAGCCACGGCUAACUACGUGCCAGCCGCCGCGGUAA